GGGGGUAACAUAGAAACUUUAAAUUUGGUUUUUUUGUCAUUUUUUUGAAUUGUUUUUUCUUUUUCUUGUGUGUUUGUUUGUUCUUGAGCUUAUAUAAAUAAAAGUGAUUGGUUAGCAGCAUGUGAAUAGGUUAUUUUUAUAAAUUGUAAAAUUUUGUUUGAUAAUAAAUUAUUUCGGUGAUUUAUUUUAGACUAGUUAGUUCAAUCUGUUAAACUAUAAAUAGGAAAAAUUAGUUAACCGUACCAAAUGAUAAAGGCGUACACGAGAAGUCAUG
rnacentral:lncRNA from 1 species